rnacentral:rRNA from 1 species
GGGAUUGCCCUAGUAACGGCGAGUGAAGCGGCAACAGCUCAAAUUUGAAAUCUGGCUCUCGGGCCCGAGUUGUAAUUUGUAGAGGAUGCUUUUGGUGCGGUGCCUUCCGAGUGCCCUGGAACGGGACGCCAUAGAGGGUGAGAGCCCCGUCUGGUUGGAUGCCAAUCCUCUGUAAAGCUCCUUCGACGAGUCGAGUAGUUUGGGAAUGCUGCUCUAAAUGGGAGGUAUAUGUCUUCUAAAGCUAAAUACCGGCCAGAGACCGAUAGCGCACAAGUAGAGUGAUCGAAAGAUGAAAAGCACUUUGAAAAGAGAGUUAAAAAGUACGUGAAAUUGUUGAAAGGGAAGCGUUUAUGACCAGACUUGGGCUUGGUUAAUCAUCCAGGGUUCUCCCUGGUGCACUUUUCCAGUCCAGGCCAGCAUCAGUUUGCUUCGGGGGAUAAAGGCUUCGGGAAUGUGGCUCUCUCCGGGGAGUGUUAUAGCCCGUUGCGUAAUACCCUGGGGCGGACUGAGGUACGCGCUUCUGCAAGGAU